rnacentral:rRNA from 1 species
AGUUACCAGCAUUGAGUUGGGGACUCUGGAGAGACUGCCGGUGACAACGGAGGAAGGUGGGAUGACGUCAAAUCAUCAUGCCCUUAUGACCUGGGCUACACACGUACUACAAUGGCGUAUACAACGGGAAGCGAAGUGGUGACACGGAGCAAAUCUCACAAAGUACGUCUCAGUUCAGAUUGAAGUCUGCAACUCGACUUCAUGAAGUCGGAAUCGCUAGUAAUCGCAGGUCAGCAUACUGCGGUGAAUACGUUCCCGGGCCUU